AGAGUUUGAUCCUGGCUCAGGAUGAACGCUAGCGGUAGGCUUAACACAUGCAAGUCGAGGGGUAACGAUGUCUUCGGACAGGCGACGACCGGCGCACGGGUGAGUAACGCGUAUGCAACCUACCCAUAACUGAGGGAUAGCCCGGAGAAAUCCGGAUUAAUACCUCAUAACAUUAUAGAGCUUCAUGGCUUCAUAAUUAAAGCUCCGGCGGUUAUGGAUGGGCAUGCGUGACAUUAGCUUGUUGGUGAGGUAACGGCUCACCAAGGCUGCGAUGUCUAGGGGGUCUUAAAGGAUGAUCCCCCACACUGGUACUGAGACACGGACCAGACUCCUACGGGAGGCAGCAGUGAGGAAUAUUGGUCAAUGGGCGCAAGCCUGAACCAGCCACUCCGCGUGUAGGAUGACUGCCCUAUGGGUUGUAAACUACUUUUAUACAGGAAGAAACCUUCAUACGUGUAUGGAGCUGACUGUACUGUAAGAAUAAGCAUCGGCUAACUCCGUGCCAGCAGCCGCGGUAAUACGGAGGAUGCAAGCGUUAUCCGGAUUUAUUAGGUCUAAAGGGUGCGUAGGCGGAUAUUUAAGUCAGUGGUGAAAUCCUGCAGCUUAACUGUAGAACUGCCAUUGAUACUGGAUGUCUUGAGUUUAGUUGAGGUAAGCGGAAUGUGUAGUGUAGCGGUGAAAUGCUUAGAUAUUACACAGAACACCGAUUGCGAAGGCAGCUUACUAAGCUAACACUGACGCUGAGGCACGAAAGCGUGGGGAGCGAACAGGAUUAGAUACCCUGGUAGUCCACGCCGUAAACGAUGAUCACUCGUUGUAUGUCAGAAUGAUGGCAUGUGACCAAGCGAAAGCAUUAAGUGAUCCACCUGGGGGAGUACGUUCGCAAGAAUGAAACUCAAAGGAAUUGACGGGGGGCCCGCACAAGCGGAAGGAACAUGUGGGUUUAAUUCGAUGAAAUCGCGAGGGAACCUUACCUGGGGCUUUAAAGUUAAAACGACCUUUUGCCCAAAAGGCAUUUUUCCUUUCGGGGCGUAUUCAUAAAGGUGUUUGAUUGGUUUGUUCGUCCUGUCU
rnacentral:rRNA from 1 species